GUGACUAAAAGGGACUCUGUCUUGGAGCGGGUUUUGUUCAAACAGAAGGUGACUCUUGUUCGUGAUGGAGAGAUGGGGGCACCAGCAUGACCUUGAGGCGGCAGUUUGGAGGCUGAGAUGGAGCUCCUGAUGAGGGUUGCCAUGGCCACAGGGCUCUGGUGAGUAAAGGGCCCUCCACACUUUCACAUCAGUCACCUCACCCAUGUGGAGCUCAGGCAACUCUGCUCCGAGCCUUGGGCGCCUCCAGGAGCUCCUGGGAGCUCCUCCUUCUGUGGCACCUGAGGUCCCUGGGUGCUCCUGGUAGGAACACAUCACCACAGGCUACCACGUGGUGUGUCCUCUGGGCCCUCCCAGUAGUACCACCGGGGGCGGUGGAAGAGGAAGCAGGUUCACAGAGGACCAGUGACGUACCCAAGCCCAGUGAUGACUGUCCACGCCCUGUGCCGGGUGAGGACGUGAUGACAGUUCCAUGGCAUCAGGCUCCUAACCCGCAAGACUUAAGGAGGCUCCAGCGCCCUGGAGGGCUGCUUCUCCUACCCCAGGCGUGUGCCUUCCUGGACUCAACCUGGUCGUAGGUGUGCAGUCCUCUCUCCUCUUUUGAACGCCUGACUUUGCUCACACGGGGUGGGUCUCGCGACAACCUUCUCCAUGAGACACUCUGCAGUUGCAGGUGGUGAGGAGCGUGGGGAAGGUACAGCCACUUCCCAAAUCCUGGACCAGGUGCUGGCCGGCCUUGCUGGCCCACGUCUCUGGGGAGCUCGUCCCAGACUUGGCCAUCUCCCCAGAUGUCUGGCCAUUUCCAAGCUGGUUGUGCGUCAGAAUCACCACGGUUCUCUGGAGACACGGACGCCUGGCCCCAGGCCCCACAGUGCUGCUUCACAGGCCCAAGGUAGGACCUGGGCGCCUGCAGGUAAAAAGUCCCGCAGGUCCAGCGGCCCCAGCCCCUACACUUGGCCCCGGUUCUGCCCCAGGUCCAAGGAGAGGCAUCCACGGCCCAUGUGGAGGCAGCGCCGUGGGUUCACUCCCCGCCUGGCUCCCGCAGGAUCUACGAGGGCCCCAGGGCAGAGUGGAGAGGACAUGCCCGCCUUGGGAGACAGGAGCUGGGAGAUGUGAUGUCCCCGUUGGGAGGCACAAGCUGCUAAUUGCUUUGUUUCGCGUUACCAACAUCUGCGGGGAGAGAGCAGAUGCCGCCACUUGCCCAGCCUGCUGUCCCCAGAGCAGCACCAGGAGCAUACUUCUCUCUCCUUCUCGAAGAUUCCAGGCGGAACCUCUCAGCUCGGCGCCACAAACUGAACGGCUCCACCAAGGAAGAGGAAGUGCCUUGUCUGCUGAGAGGAGCUCCAUUCAGCCUCUGAGCCUCAGUUUCCCUGUUUGUGAAACCAAGAACUAACCCGCCUGCAACUGCAUCAUAGGGUUUUCUCAAGAGGAUCAAAUUUAAUCAGGUUCAACAAGCUGUGUAUUAAUACAACAUUUAAACUGCUUCCCAAAUGACUGGUGCUGAGGGAAUACACGCGUGCAUAAAAUGAGAUGUCGUUCUCAGAAGAAAUGGAAAAUGCAGAGGAAGGCACACACACAUCAGCAAGCAGGAUGCAGGGCUGAAUUAGUGAUCAUGGUUGUCCCCAUGGCAACCACGGCCCCAGGACCCCUGUCUCCAUAGCAGACUGUGCCUUGCUGGCCUGUGCCCACCCUGCCCCCAAAUGAUGAGGGUCCAUCACAUGCCCACAAAGGGGAGAACCCAGCCCGUCCUGUUGGGAGUGGAGACGGUGACCCCUGGGCACAGGGGCUAUGUCUUUUGAACCUCCUGGUGCUUCAAGCCCAGCAGAGUACCUGGCACAAGCUCAACCUCUGAGCUUUUUUUAACCAUGAAACAAACUAGAUGCACAGUGACCAGUAUAAUAGUUUGAGAACAACAGCCCGCCCCCGCACCCCACUUGCUUCCCAUCUUCUUCAUCACCUAAGGAAGCGUCACUACUGUUUGGCUUUUCUUCCUUUGAACCAGGUCUAAAUGGAUGUCAACAGGCAUCUUCUGGGACAUGUGUUUCUGCUCUCCACCGUAUUGAGACUCAGUUAGUUAAUGUCCCCUCUGGGGUAGGACUGAUGGUGGUGGGUGCAGUCAACGUUGCUGAAUGCAGGCAGGGGCUGUGAAGGCAAAUACCCCGUGUGCCUAGCCGAGGAGGAGAGAGUUGGGAGCCCUCAGGAGCCUGAAGGCCAGGCUUGGCAACAGCUGCACUGCCUGGACCCUGGAGGGUGUGCCUGUCUCAGCUGGGUGCCUGUGUGGGUGGAGCCGGGGGGGUGUGGAAGCCGGGG
ensembl:lncRNA